GAGAUAGGCCCGAGGCAAAAAGCACUGCUAAUUCUUUCACCCACGGUUAAACUCCGUGGCUUUCUCGGG
rnacentral:tRNA from 1 species